rnacentral:rRNA from 1 species
UACGAAGGGGGCUAGCGUUGCUCGGAAUCACUGGGCGUAAAGCGCACGUAGGCGGCUUUUUAAGUCAGGGGUGAAAUCCUGGAGCUCAACUCCAGAACUGCCUUUGAUACUGAGAAGCUUGAGUCCGGGAGAGGUGAGUGGAACUGCGAGUGUAGAGGUGAAAUUCGUAGAUAUUCGCAAGAACACCAGUGGCGAAGGCGGCUCAUUGGCCCGGUACUGACGCUGAGGUGCGAAAGCGUGGGGAGCAAACAGG